UACGGAGGAUCCAAGCGUUAUCCGGAAUCAUUGGGCGUAAAGGGUCCGUAGGCGGGUCGAUAAGUCAGUGGUGAAAGUCUGGAGCUCAACUGUAGAACUGCCAUUGAUACUGUGGUCCUUGAGUUCUUGUGAAGAGAUUGGAAUAUGUAGUGUAGCGGUGAAAUGCAUAGAUAUUACAUAGAACACCGAUUGCGAAGGCAGAUCACUAACAAUACACUGACGCUGAUGGACGAAAGCGUAGGUAGCGAACAGG
rnacentral:misc_RNA from 1 species